GGGUGACCAAGAGAAGGGUGACAAAAGGGGUGACAGAGAAGGUGAGGAAGAGGGUGACCUAAAGGGUGACAAAGAGAAGGGUGACAAAAGGGGUGAUGGGAGGGGUGACAGAGAAGGUGACAAAGAGAGUGACCUAAAGGGUGACAAAGAGAAGGGUGACAAAGGGGGUGAUGGGAGGGGUGACAGGAAGGGUGACAUAGAAGGUGACAAAGAGAAGGGUGACAAAGGGGAUGGGGGAGAGGGUGACAAAGAGAAGGGUGACAAAAGGGCUGAGACAGGGGGUGACACAAAGGGUGACAUAGAGAAGGGUGACAUAGAGGGUGACCUAAAGGGUGACAAA
rnacentral:lncRNA from 1 species